AUGACAGAAAGGGGCCAGCCUUAAGAUCUGGGAAGAUCUUUAGGCAUAGGGAACAGCUAGUGCAAAGAGCCUAGCACAGGAAUGUGCUUGGCAUUUUCAAGGCACAGGAAAGAGGGGCAAGUGUCUGAGAUGAGGUCAGAAAGCUGGGAGAAACCAGAUCAAAGGGUCUUGAGAGCCAUGGUAGAAUUUUUACUCUAUCCUCAGUGUACUGUCAACCAGUGGAAGGUGGCAAGGAGUGAUAAGAUUUAAUUAGCACUGUUUAAAAGAUCACUUUCUGGCUCUGUAUAUAAGAGAAAAAGUCAAAGCAGAGAUACCAGGUUAUUAGCUGUUGUCCAGUCUAGAGACAUUUGUGGCUUGGACAGCUACAGUCUUAGUAGAGAUACUAAAAAAUGUAAAGAUGCAGGAUCUAUUCUAGAGGCAGAACUGAGUAUCUUGUUGAUGAAUCAGAGGUUUACGAAAAGAGUGAGAGAAGAGGAGAGUUAUGAAAACUCAAUUUCUGCACAAUUGGCUUAUGGUGUUACUGAUGAUUGAGACAGAGAAGACAGGGAGGAAGCAAGUUUUGGGAGAGAGGAGAUUUCUGCCUUAACCAUGUUGAAUUUCAGAUCCCACUAGACAUUCAACUUAAAAACAACAGCUAGAGUUGAAUAUCUGAGCCCAGAGUUAGAAGAGAGAGAAGAGUCAGAAAUACAUUUGGAAAUCAUUAGUGUGAAGAUGUUUCAAAGUGAGAUUAGAUGAGAUCACUAGAGAGGAGAGGGCUUAAGGCAGUCAUCAGUUACAUGAGACAGGAACUUACAUGUCCUGCAUAGAAAGAAAGUAAGCCAUGUAAUAACUGCUUCUUAUAGUCUGAUAUCUCAACAGUAUGACAGAUUCUUGUAUAAUAUUGAAAUAAUUUAGAAGAAAGCAGGGGUAGCAGAGAGAAUUUUAAAGAAUUUUAAUUUUGGAGAAUUAGAAUCACUUUUAAAAAGAUGGUAAAUUACUGAAUGCAAAGGAGUGAAUAGAGAAACAACAAGAAGGAAAAAAAAUCUCAAAACCACUGGAUCUUCAUAACAAGCAUAAAAUUUCCAUGGAGUUGGUUAUUACAGUUUCUGAGGUAAGCACCUGAGCUAUGACAUUUUGCUAACUGCUCCCCAUUUUGGCUGAAUGAGAAGAGAAUAAACAAUAGAUAAUGCCUGAAAGAAACCUGAUGUGUAUCUCUGGUGACUUCAAAAUUAUACCUAGAAAACUUGAACAGAUUUGAGAGAAAUUCAGUGGUUUUAAUCCCUUCUGGGUGUUUGGACGUUGGAAAAGAAAAAUGGAUGUAGAGAGUGAAUAGCUGUGUAUAUAAAUUAUAUUCAUGAAAUUUGGAUUUUAUUUUUUGGAUCAUAGCUAACAUUAUUGGAAUCUUGGACUUCUGGUAAUGGCAGGGAAUACCAUCUUAGAAAAAAAGUUCAAUACCCUAAUCAAGACUCCCUGUAGGAGUUCCCAUUGUAGCUCAGCAGUAACAACUGGCCUGGUAUCCUUGAGGAUUCGAGUUCUACCCCUGGCUCUGCUCAGUAGGUUAAGGAUCUAGCAUUGCCAUGAGCUGUGGUGUAAGUCACAGAUGCCGCUCAGAUAGGUGUUUCCAAAGAUGAAUAUUAAUCCUUUAGGAUGUUCUUCAAAAGAGGGCUGGAUGUUGAAAUAAUUUUAGAAAUAAGUGCAUACAUUUUAUAUUUCUUUUUAAGUUAAAUUGGUAUUUAAAUCCUGAACUUAUAUUAGCAUUUAAAGGCACUGGGAAAUCCUACAAAAGUUUUAUUUCAUUUAACCCACUACUUUGUAGAAAUUUUUGACCUUAAAAACCCCCUCACUUGUUGCUGGGUUUUGUUUUGUUUUGUUUUGUUUUUGUCUUUUUAGGGCCACACCCUUGGCAUAUGGAGGUUCCCAGGCUAGAGGUCAAAUCGGAGCUACAACUGCCGGCCUACACCACAGCCACAGCAACGCCAGAUCCGAGCUGUGUCUGCAACCUAUACCACAACUCAUGGCAGCACUGGAUCCUUAACCCACUGAGCAAGGUCAGGGACCAAACCCGAAACCUCAUGGUUCCUAGUUGGAUUUGUUUCCACUAUGCCAUGAUGGGAACUCCUGUGAUGUUUUUAAUCACACAGCAUGUCUUAACAUUUCACAUAGCUAGUGUUCCACAGCACACACACUUUGGGAAAUGGAGUACUAUACAACAAAUGUAAAAAAAAAAUUUAAGUUAAAAUUUGAAGGUGAAGAAAAUUGCUCAGAUAAUUAAAAGGAGAUACUUUGAAGAAGAGCAUGAAUGGCAAAAACAGAUGCAUAAUAUUGAGAGUGUCCAGUGGUUAACAUUCAAUAAUCAAAAAGAGGAUUGAGAAUAACCUGAUUUGAAUGGCAGUCAGUUUAGAAGCUAUAUACUUUGUUAAGAUGAAACAGACAGUAGAAAAAGCAAAUUGAGUGAAAAACAUUUGCAGUUCUAUGGCCAAAAGGAUCCUAUCCCUUAGGAAAGCCAUUUUACAGUUAAAUUAUAUACCAUUAUGGAAACUGGAGAUUUGAAAGAGAAAGAAUGGUCCCAGAGUAGCCUCCUUUUUAUACCACUGAUCACUGUAAGUUGUAAGUAUGAAGAUAAUGGACAGAUGAAAUGAUGGAUAGAUAGAUGGACGGAUGGAUGAUAGAUGAUUAAUGUGUAUGAUAACCAUUUUAUAUUGUUGUUUGUUUGCCUAAGGGUGUUCAUAAAUGAUAGUCUGUAAGACCAGCGCAGAGAAAGUUGAUGACACAAAACUGGCACAACAAAAAAAUUAUGUCCUAAUGGAGGUAUCAGCGGUCAUCUGCCAUAAAUAUUGUUCUGCUAAAACCUGAGUAUGUGACAAAAUAUUGCUUUGUCUUGCUCAUAAUUUCAUGGAAGAAAACAGAAAAGUGGAAUUAAUUUUUUCACCAAGAAGAAAAAUUGAUUUAUUCUUUAAGAAAGCAUUUUUCGGAGUUCCCAUCGUGGCGCAGUGGUUGGCGAGUCCGACUAGGAACCAUGAGGUUGCGGGUUCGGUCCCUGCCCUUGCUCAGUGCGUUAACGAUCCGGCGUUGCCCUGAGCUGUGGUGUAGGUUGCAGACGCGGCUCGGAUCCCGCGUUGCUGUGGCUCUGGCGUAGGCCGGUGGCUACAGCUCUGAUUCAACCCCUAGCCUGGGAACCUCCAUGUGCCGCGGGAGCGGCCCAAGAAAUAGCAACAACAACAACAACAACAAAAAGAAAAAAAAAAAGAAAGCAUUUUUCAAAAAUUCAAAGAAAAAAACAGGUAUGAUCAGAGAUCACAUAAAGGACAGGAGGCCCAUGAAGACAAGUGUUUAACUAUAAAAUCAUAAAUGACACAGGUGAGGAAUAAACUCAGACACCAGUGUGACUACACUUUUAAGUUCUGGAUGAGUACAGAUUUGCAAAAAGAACGAAAAUAGAUAGAAGCUAUAUGAGCAAGAGUAAAUAAAAAUAAAAGUUUAAGCUAAAAAUAACAUACACUCGCUAUAUGUAAGAGUAUCAAGUUUUUAAGUAUCCUUGCCCCAAAUAAUUAACUUAUAGGCAAUAACUGAAUUUUUCAUUUUCAUUUUUACUUAUGUAAGAUUAAACAUUUUAAUGGGCUUAUUGAUCACUUGUAUGUCCUUUUUGAUUAUUAUAUUCCAAGUUUCUCAUACAUUUUUAUAUUGGAAUAUUCCUUUUCUGCUUAUUAAUGAAUAAGAGAUUUUCACAUAUGAGAAAUAUUAUUCCUUUGUCACAUAUAAAUAAAGGCAAAUGUUUUCU
rnacentral:lncRNA from 1 species